AAGUCGUAACAAGGUUUCCGUAGGUGAACCUGCGGAAGGAUCAUUAAUACGCUUUUGUUUGUAACAAAACAAAACGUUUUAAACUCCAAAAGAAAUAGUGGAAAUAUAACUUCCGGAUGCGAAUGUUGGGAACUGAGUAAAAUCGGUUCUUUGAAAAAGGGACUUCAAGUAAUUGACACUUCAGAGUAGAGCAGUGAGGUGAAAUUCUCUUUAAUGAGAGUUUGGUGCUGAAAAACAUUUGUAUCCGGUUAUCAUAAUCUGUUCUACAAACUCCAAAAUAUCAAACAAUAAACCCCAUGUACAACAACUUGAACUAAACAUUUUUUUGUUAUUCUUCUUGCACUUGUGUGAGGGGCUACAAAGAAAAAACCUGAACUUAAGAACAACUCUUAACAACGGAUAUCUUGGUUCUC
rnacentral:misc_RNA from 1 species